UGUCCCAAUUCCUAGGACGCAUCCUUCGAAGGCUGCAUUCGAAGGAUGCGUCGACGCCGAUUGCGUCACAGCGUCGCGCCAAGUGCUGUCCCAAUUCCAAGGGUCCUUCAAAUGCGGCCUACGAAUGCAGCCUUCUUUUCCCGGAUUUGAAGGAUGCAUCGGCUGUAUCCUUCACGGCCCAACGUAUCCCAAGAUCCUUCACGGCCCAACGUAUCCCUCCCAAGAUUCAUUGCGCAUUCAAUCAAUGGAGAUGGCGGAGAAUGGCGAUUUAAGUUCUGCAUUUAAAUGAUUGCAAGUAUCCAGGGUCAGGAGAGGGGGUAGGUGGGAAACCCACUGCUGCCACUUGGCCCUGGUUUGUCCCCUUGGAUAAGGUAUUGUGACAUAUGCAUACCACCAACCCCCCUGUCCUAAUUGCCUCCAUCCCUGAGAACACACCAGGGCCAAGUACAGCAAGUACAGCAGUGGUGGAUCAGGAGGUUGAGGACAAGAUCAGGAGGAGGAAAGACAGCGAGGGCCAAGGUCCAGAAAGAGGGACAGAGAGGAAGACAUGUUCCAGAGUCGCUCACUAUCUUCCGAAAAAGACUCAAGAUUCACCUGUUCAGAGUCCACCUCGACUGCAUAGCCACCCUCCCCCUUCUGGCAACCAUUGUACACUGUGUUGUAUUGUAUUAUAGUACUUAACUGUGUAGCAACUGCAGUAGCUGCUAUCAUGGCUGUAACACGGGGAAUGGGUUAGCCUAGCGAUUGUGGUACUUGCACUUGGUUCUAUGAACAUCCUUUCUGUACCGACAGCGAUAUAUUGAUGCACUUCUUAUGACAAAUGUACUUAUUGUAAGUCGCUUUGGAUAAAAGCGUCUGCUAAAUGCCCUAAAUGUAAAUGUAAAAUGUCAAUGUUCCAGUUAAUAAAAGAGGACAUGAGGCUACAAAGGGA